rnacentral:ncRNA from 1 species
GUAUAAAUUUUAUUCUGGUUAAAGGUAGUAUAACUAUUAAACAUUCUCAUAGAUCCUAUAGUUUAACAGCAGUUUAGUUUUGUUGUUGUUUCUAGAGAAGAAUACUGUGACAAUUACACAAUAAAUUACAUAGAUCUGGUUUUAUAGAAUUAGGAGGAAAAAGCUCAGUGCCAGCAUCCGCGGUUAAACUGAUUUACCUCAAACUCCUGCUAGGUAAAAAGAGUAAAAUAAUCAUAAUAUUUAUUUUAUAUUAAAAUAUAAUAAAAUAAUGUUGUAAACAAAGGUUAUAUUUAACGAAAAAUAUAAGUAAAAACAGGGAUUAGAGACCCCUUUAUUAGUAGAUUUAUUUUUUUUGGCCACAGUUUUAACUGAAAGGAAUUGGCAGUUAGUUAUAUUCGUUUAGGGGAGUGUGUAAUAUAAUUGGAUGAUCCGCUUAAUAACUUUCCUUACUUAGUUUAGUUAGUGUAUAUCCGGUUAUAAGUCUUAGUUAACAGACUUGGACGUAUAUAAAAUAUUUUAAGCCAGGUCAAUAUGCUACUAAUAGUAAGGUAAUUAUUCACUACUUUUAUAUAGGAAAUUAUGUAGGUUAAUUUUUAUUUAGGACUUAAAAGUAAUACUAAUAAGUAUGUUAGUUUGAAAUAAAGGAUGGGAUUUGACUAGUGUACACAUCGCCCGUCACCUUCGAUAUAAAUUGAAGAAAGUCGUAACAUGGUAGUUUCAGGGGAACCUAAAACUAAAAAAUAU